UUGAACGCUGGCGGCAGGCCUAACACAUGCAAGUCGAGCGGAUGAAGGGAGCUUGCUCCUGGAUUCAGCGGCGGACGGGUGAGUAAUGCCUAGGAAUCUGCCUGGUAGUGGGGGAUAACGUCCGGAAACGGGCGCUAAUACCGCAUACGUCCUGAGGGAGAAAGUGGGGGAUCUUCGGACCUCACGCUAUCAGAUGAGCCUAGGUCGGAUUAGCUAGUUGGUGGGGUAAAGGCCUACCAAGGCGACGAUCCGUAACUGGUCUGAGAGGAUGAUCAGUCACUCUGGAACUGAGACACGGUCCAGACUCCUACGGGAGGCAGCAGUGGGGAAUAUUGGACAAUGGGCGAAAGCCUGAUCCAGCCAUGCCGCGUGUGUGAAGAAGGUCUUCGGAUUGUAAAGCACUUUAAGUUGGGAGGAAGGGCAGUAAGUUAAUACCUUGCUGUUUUGACGUUACCAACAGAAUAAGCACCGGCUAACUUCGUG
rnacentral:rRNA from 1 species